UACGGAGGGAGCUAGCGUUGUUCGGAAUUACUGGGCGUAAAGCGCACGUAGGCGGUACAUCAAGUCAGGGGUGAAAGCCCGGAGCUCAACUCCGGAACUGCCCUUGAAACUAGUGUGCUAGAAUCUUGGAGAGGCGGGUGGAAUUCCGAGUGUAGAGGUGAAAUUCGUAGAUAUUCGGAAGAACACCAGUGGCGAAGGCGGCCCGCUGGACAAGUAUUGACGCUGAGGUGCGAAAGCGUGGGGAGCAAACAGG
rnacentral:rRNA from 1 species